ensembl:snRNA U6 U6 spliceosomal RNA
UUGCUCACUUUGGCAGCACAUAUGCUAAAAUAAGAAUGAUACAGAGAAGAUUAGCAUGGCCCCUGUGCAAGGAUGACAUGCAAAAUAUUUAGCUCUUCACUAGGUAA